GUUUUUGAGUGGUGUACUGUGGACUCCCGACUUCUGUGGGCUUUCCUUUCUUUCUUUUCCAUUGCGGAGGUGGUUGAAUAAUGUAGGUCUAAUGUAAUUCUAAUGCCGAACAGCUAUUUAGAAAUGGUCCAAUGUAUGCUAUAGAAAAAGAGCUAGAUAUAAAAAGUCAAAUGCAUUGUGUGGAAGACUUGCUAGCUAACCUACCAGUGCAAGGUUUGGAGAAAGAAAAGUUGAGAUGGGAGUUCGUUAAAGAGAAGCCACAAGGAAGAUCAAGAAUAACUAAAAAUUUGUUGAAUAAAGAAGAGUUACGCUUGCUUAAAAAAACUAAGCAAUGGAUGGCAAGUGAGGGUAUUAUAAUCACACUUGAGGACAAAACCAAAAG
rnacentral:lncRNA from 1 species